GGUACCUUAGCUCAGUGGUAGAGCAGUGGACUGAAAAUCCGCGUGUCCCUGGUUCGAUCCCCGGAGGUACCA
rnacentral:tRNA from 1 species